CAGAGUUUACAACUCCCAAACCAUCGUCGAACAUUACCACACUAUGUUGCCUUCGGCGGAUCAGCCGCUCCCGGGUCACACCGGGACGGCCGCCAGAGGGCCCCUAUAAACUCUGUUUCUAUAUGUACAUUCUGAGUAAACUAUAACUUAAUAUCA
rnacentral:misc_RNA from 1 species